rnacentral:tRNA from 1 species
GGGGCCGUAGCUCAGUUGGAAGAGCGUGUCGUUCGCAAUGACAAGGUCGUCGGUUCGAUCCCGAUCGGCUCCACCA